ACACAGCUGGUGCCCACGUGGUUACCAUGUACUGAAGUCGGCUCCUGUACUGCAGCUUGUCCCGCAGAAAACCCGUGACAGUGCACUCCUCAUUCUGCGUCAAGGGCCACAUCUCCAAAGGCUCAUUCCCCAAGGCCACGCCAAGGAAGAUCCCAAGAUCGCGCAGCCAGGUGAAGCCCCGGGGCAUGGUGGUGUUCCUCGUCCCCCUGAGAGCUCAGGCGCCGUCCCCAGCAGUGUGUCCACAGAGGCCUAAGCACGGCCUACAUGGCCUCGGGGCAGCAGAGGUGGUCACUCAGUCAGGGAAGGGCUGGCCCUGGAGGAGUGGCUGGGCUGCGGGAGUGAGCAGGUGCCCCAAGGGCAGCAGCUGCCCUUAUCUGCCCGGCAGCGUGGAGGACAGCCGGGGGGCGGUGGCCGCAAGUCCCAUGGCAGCCCAGAAGCAGGUCUGAGCCGGUGGCUUGGGGGUCUUUCGGGGUCUUCCUUUCCAAGGAGCAGGAGGAGAGAGUCCCUGGCAGGCCCCUCGGAAUCUGGGGCUGGGUGACGCUUUCUCUGAUUUCUCCGACUGCAGCUGCUCAGUGUGAAAUCUGGCUCUAGGAAGAGAAAGGAGGAGAGAAACUGAUUAUGUAAGAGCAGCGCUGCCACUCAGCCAUCAGCCACAGCGCACACCGCACCCACGGCCUGCACAGGACCACCCGGCCCUGGCAGCUGGACACGGCUCACGUGAGAAAUGACUUCAGGAUGUCCGAACGGCCCUGGCCCAUGAGUGAGUUAUGAUGACACCAGCUGGCAGCCUGGGGCCUGAACAAAAGCAGGA
rnacentral:lncRNA from 1 species